rnacentral:tRNA from 2 species
GGGCUGUUAGCUCAGUUGGUUAGAGCACUACCUUCACACGGUAGGGGUCGCUGGUUCGAGUCCAGCACAGCCCACCA